rnacentral:tRNA from 1 species
UCCCUGGUGGUACAGUGGUUAGGACACCGCACUUUCACUGCUGAGGGCCCAGGUUUGAUCCCUGAUCAGGUAA